rnacentral:ncRNA from 1 species
GAGCGCCGUGUGCGGUGAAAGUCGCAUGCACGGUGUGAAGCGGGGGAAAAUCCACCCUGACUGCUGCAUUCAAAUGGAUGCAGUAAAAGAGGUGGAUUACCUAUCGCUAU